GAACUGAAGAGUUUGAUCAUGGCUCAGAUUGAACGCUGGCGGCAGGCCUAACACAUGCAAGUCGAGCGGAUGACGGGAGCUUGCUCCUUGAUUCAGCGGCGGACGGGUGAGUAAUGCCUAGGAA
rnacentral:rRNA from 1 species